GACGAACGCUGGCGGCGUGCUUAACACAUGCAAGUCGAACGGAAAGGCCCUGCUUUUGUGGGGUGCUCGAGUGGCGAACGGGUGAGUAACACGUGAGUAACCUGCCCUUGACUUUGGGAUAACUUCAGGAAACUGGGGCUAAUACCGGAUAGGAGCUCCUGCUGCAUGGUGGGGGUUGGAAAGUUUCGGCGGUUGGGGAUGGACUCGCGGCUUAUCAGCUUGUUGGUGGGGUAGUGGCCUACCAAGGCUUUGACGGGUAGCCGGCCUGAGAGGGUGACCGGCCACAUUGGGCCUGGGAUACGGCCCAGACUCCUACGGGGGGCAGCAGUGGGGAAUAUUGCACAAUGGGCGGACGCCUGAUGCAGCAACGCCGCGUGCGGGAUGACGGCCUUCGGGUUGUAAACCGCUUUCGCCUGUGACGAAGCGUGAGUGACGGUAAUGGGUAAAGAAGCACCGGCUAACUACGUG
rnacentral:rRNA from 1 species